AACGCACCUUGCGCUCCUUGGUAUUCCGAGGAGCAUGCCUGUUUGAGUGUCGUGAAAUUAUCAACUCUCUUUCUUUUCGAAGUAAGAUGAGAUUGGACUUGGGGAUUGCUGGUUUCACCUUGAAGCGAGCUCCUCCCAAACGUAUUAGUGGGGUCUGCAUUGUCGGUCCUUGGCGUGAUAAGUUGUUUCUACGUCUUGGAUUUUUGGCGCUGUACACCUGCUUCUAACCGUCUUCAUUGACAACGAUGGUGUUCCGGUCGCCGCCGAUUUUUCGGUGGGAGGCUUGACCCACGAAACAAACCUUGACCUCAAAUCGGGUGAGACUACCCGCUGAACUUAA
rnacentral:rRNA from 1 species